UUGCAGAAACUCCUGUCUGGACGGGCCUGAUUGGACAAGACCUCACUAAGCAUGCACCUCUCGGCCGCCCGCAGGAAAAGGAGCCCUUUCUGCAGCCUUAUUCACAAUAGCCAAGAUGUGGAAGCAACCUAAGUGUCCAUCGACAGAUGACUUGAUCAAGAAGCUUUGGUUAUAUACAACGGAAUAUUAUUCAUCCUGAAAAGAGAAGGAAAUUCUGCUAUUUGCAGCAACGUGGGUGGAUCUAGAGGACAUUAUGUUAAGUGAAAUACGCCAGACACAAAAGGACAAAAACAUACUUCAUAGUCUCCCUUAUAUGUGGAAUCUAAAUAGUCAACCAUACAAAGCAGAGAGGAGAACGGUAGUUGUCAGGUGCUGGGGGGAGGGAGAAAUGGAGAGGUCUUGGUCAAGGGGCACAAAGUUAGGCUAAAGCCUGGAGAUCUGCAGGGCAUAAUGCCUACAGUGAACAGUACUGUAUUGUGUAUUUGAAACUUUGCUAAGAGGGUAGAUCUUGCGUUGUGUUCUCAUCACACACACACAAAUAACGAGGGCAAGAGGAAACUUUUGGAGGUGAUGGACAUAUUAUGGCAUAGUGUAGGCUGUGGUGAUGGUCUCAUGGAUAUAUACUUAUCUCCACACUCAUCAAAUUGUAUACAUUAAACACGUACAGCAUUUUGUAUGCCAAUCACACCUCAAUAAAGUAGUUUUAAAAAAAGAAAAAAAA